UCCCUGGUGGUCUGGUGGCUAAGGCUCUGCUCUCCCACUGCAGGGGGCUUGGGUUCGAUCCCUGGUUAGGGAA
rfam:Ovis aries breed Texel chromosome 10, whole genome shotgun sequence.